rnacentral:rRNA from 1 species
AUGCAGCGGAGAAACAAGAACUUUGAUCAAGCUGAAUGGUGGUCCAAUCAUGGAUCAAGUGGACCAAAUCUCAGGGUACUGGCUAUGCGGAUUUUGAGCUUGACAUGCAGCUCAUCAGCUUGUGAGAGAAACUUCAAUGUUUUUCAGCAGGUUCAAGGCAGCAAAAGGCGCAACAUGCUACUUCAUGACAAAAUGAGAGAUCUUGUCUUCAUCAAGGCCAACUCCCAACUUGAACAAAAGAGAAUGAACAAAGACAGGGAUCCACUUGUGGACAGAACACAUGCAGAUGUUGUGGAAGAUGAUGAUAACGAGUGGAUCACAGGAAUUGUGUCGAUUCCAGUUGUGGAUACUGCAGAUGAACCUGAAGAAGAACCAAUACCACAACCAAGAGCAAGAGCUGCUGCAUCAAAAAGAAAUAAAGCUCGUCAGCCUAGGAAGAAGUUGCUCCUAGUUUUUCGUGAUGAUGAGCUGCAAUCUGUGGGUUCUUCUUCUGAUUCGGAUGAUGAUGCCAUGGCAGCAAGUCCAUCUGAUUCUGAUUGA